UACGGAGGGGGCGAGCGUUAUUCGGAAUUAUUGGGCGUAAAGGGCGCGUAGGCGGCCUUGUAAGUCAAAGGUGAAAUCCCUCGGCUCAACUGAGGAACUGCCUUUGAAACUGCAAGGCUUGGGGCCGGGAGGGGGUAGCGGAAUUCCCAAUGUAGCGGUGAAAUGCGUAGAUAUUGGGAGGAACACCAGUGGCGAAGGCGGCUACCUGGACCGGUUCUGACGCUGAGGCGCGAAAGCGUGGGUAGCAAACAGG
rnacentral:rRNA from 1 species